rnacentral:rRNA from 1 species
GACAGAGGGUGCAAACGUUGUUCGGAAUUACUGGGCGUAAAGGGCGCGUAGGCGGCCACCGCAAGUCGACUGUGAAAUCUCCAGGCUUAACCCGGAAAGGUCAGCCGAUACUGCGGGGCUAGAGUGCAGAAGGGGCAACUGGAAUUCUCGGUGUAGCGGUGAAAUGCGUAGAUAUCGAGAGGAACACCUGCGGCGAAGGCGGGUUGCUGGGCUGACACUGACGCUGAGGCGCGAAAGCUAGGGGAGCGAACGGG